rnacentral:lncRNA from 1 species
AUGCAGUCGUAGCACCAGGAUUAACCAGACAUAUGUUGGAGAAGGGACUGAAUGGGUGGGCAAAGACAUUGUACGUUACCAGAUUUGACUAGUGCUGGUUAAUCUCUGGAGACUCCUGAAGCUUUCGAUAAAUUUUAUUCAUUUGGCCACUUAAUAAGGCUUUAAGGAAGCCACCUGUGUACCAGGUACUGUGGCAGGCAUUGAGGAUAUAAGAGUAGAACCGAUGGAAGGGCCCCUAGCCUCAUGGAAAUUAGGUUCCAUCUAAUGGAAAUCCAAGGUGCAACUUUGAUUCUGUUGGGGUGGACAUUUAAAGUGAAGCCAUUUUCAUGAAUUAAAUGAGUGCAUGUUGUUAUUAGUGCUAUGAAGGAGAAAUGGUGUUGGCAUUGAGAACUGUCAGUCACAGGAAUAGAGCUAGGGUGGGAUGUUCCGACAACACCUCUCUAAGGAAGUGUCAUUGGAAGAAAGACCUGAAGGUCAAGAAAGAUUCACUCAAACACAAAGUGGGGUGAAGAAUGAUCUAGAAGGUUAUCCCAAGUAACAUUAUGUCCUGAAAUGAGUGAAGAACUCGACCUGCUCCAGGACAAGGAUCAGUGAGGCUGGAGAUAGCAAGAAGGAAGAAGAGUGAUCUCUGGUGCCUUGGAGCGGUCAUAAGGAGUCAGAUCGUGGGAGGCUACAAAGUCCGGGAUGGAAGGGUUGAGGUUCGUUAAAGUUGCUCUAGGAAGACAUGUAAAGGUGUGCUUACAAAGUGAGGUGACAUGACAUAACCCUGGCAUUAGGUAGGAAAUGGAUUGCAGGUCGGCAGGAAUGGAAGCAGAGGGCAGG